rnacentral:rRNA from 1 species
UACGUAGGUGGCAAGCGUUGUCCGGAUUUAUUGGGUUUAAAGGGUGCGUAGGCGGCCUUGUAAGUCAGUGGUGAAAUACUCCAGCUUAACUGGAGGGGUGCCAAUGAUACUGCAGGGCUUGAGUACAGAUGAGGUAGGCGGAAUUGACGGUGUAGCGGUGAAAUGCAUAGAUAUCGUCAAGAACACCGAUAGCGAAGGCAGCUUACUGGGCUGUAACUGACGCUGAGGCACGAAAGUGUGGGGAUCAAAACAGG